rnacentral:lncRNA from 1 species
AACAGAGCUGGGCGAUCUCCUAGUGUUGACAACACUUGCUGCCUGAGCUGCACAGAAAUCAGUGCUAAAGUCCUGUGUCUGCAUGUUUCUUGAAACCUUCAUCUUUUCCUGUUCUUCAGCCAAUUUACUUCUGCAAAUGCUUGGAAGUGCUGGUGAGUGGUGGAAAGCAAGCAGUCUUCAGUCUAACCAUGGAUUUCUACUGCUACUGGCUCUGUAGAAGAGAUUUUAAGCUCCAUGGUCUUUCCUUUGUACAGAGGGAGAAGAGUUACAGUGGUGGACUUCCUUGAGGAGCAGAGGCUGGAUGAAGGGGCAACAUUUUAAGGUCUCUGGUCUCUUAAUGUGCCUGGACAAAGUUCAAUUGUGUGGCAUCUGUGGGAUGUCUGGGUGCACAUGACUGUUUUUGUGGGCUUAGAGUUCUUUAUGUGACUUCCCUUAUUUUCAGCAUUAUUUUCUGGUCCCUUCCUAUUGCUUUUCUUUCAUCUGUUGCUUUCUGGUGUGUGAGAACAGUGCCCAGAUCUUCAAGAGCUCUGCCCCAUGCACAGCAGAUAAAAAGGAAACAUUUGUGGCUGGUGAUGUCCAGAGGUCUGGAGCAGUCAAGGCAUGGCUGUCAAGUCUUCACCUGGGGAAGCAGCUGUGAUCCAGAACGGUGUUUACCUGUGAAGGAUGAAGGAGGACAGCCACUCUGAUUACUGCUGAGAGUUGAAUUUAGGUGUGCAGGCUCUGAUAACCCAAGCUGGAAGCUGGCCAAGGACGCUAAGGUGAACUGCUUUUGGGUGAAGUGGUGCAAUAUCUCUAAUGACCAGAGGGACCAGGUUUUGUUUCCCUUAAACUGUUAUCAUCAUGGGGAAUUUUACACUGUUCUUAGGUUUGCAAGGAGAGGCAGAGGGAGAGCACCAUUUUAUUAAGCAAAGCCUCUGGGGAAGUAGAAAGGAGGUGCUUUUCUCAAAACCUUGACAUGUAGCACCCUUGUCACCUAUCUCAUACCAGCAAUACAGACACUCCCUGCUGGCAUUCCCCCUUCCAUCAGUGUCAGUUGGUCUCACUAAGGCUCGUUUCAGCCCUGUACCUGUGUUUUUCCCUCAGCUUCACUCCAGGUUAACUCUCAGCUGUGCUUUGCUCCUGCCUGGAGCUGUGUGCCUGGAGCCUUCAGCACUGGGAGAGCUCCACCGGGCAGUGCCUGGCCAUACAGGUGGUUGCUGAUUAGUUUGCAUUGAGCACAUUUUUAAUAAUUCUGUUCAGAUUAGGAUUUGUGCUCUGCCUAGCUCCAUGUCGACUCUCCAGCUCAGGCUGAAGCAUUGGACUUUGGGAGCAGUGAUGGUCUUCCUUGACCUCCCUAAAUAUACUCUGGACAAGCAGGGCCUGUGCCCAAUCCAAGCCUGGGCAAGUUUCCUGCUACCUUGCUCAGAGUUUCUGAAUUGGAAUUGGUUUUUGUCUUAGAUUUGCACUUCACUGCAUUGUGUGCAGCAUGGAUCUGUCCUUAGAAGGGGAGGAUCUGCUUCCACCUAGAAGAAUCCUUUAACAAAGUGAUUUAAAAAAAACGAGAAUAGGGCAGAAUUUGCAGGACAGAGAAACCCUUAUCCCAGAAGCUAAAGGCAGGAUCACAGAAAACAUGAAGUGGUGAAUAAGAGCAGGCAACAAAAACUUCAGAUACUCUGCAUAGGUAAAGCAAAAUUAUUUUUGGCUCUUGUCAUGUAUUUGGAGCAGAACUCCCUUUCUAUGUGAAACAGAAUGCCAUGAGGUUUUAAGUUCUCCAUGUGACCAGAUGGGGUUUGCCGCAACAAUAGGGUUUCUGCUUGGUUUUGGGAAGGGCAGCAGUUUUGCUGGCAACACAAAAGGCUAAGUGUGAUAAAAUAAGGAACCUUCUUCCUCCAGCACAUCUGAUUUAUGAAACUGCUGGAAAUCAAAACUUCUUUGCCAUUUGGAUAAUUUUUUUUAUUCGUCCAAACUGUACUGGAUGUUCUUCACAUAUUAAUUUGUGGAUUACAGAAUGUUCUAGGCAAAACAUCAGUGGGACAGUAAAAUGUUAAUACAAGAGUUCAGCUGACAUAAAAUAAAACCACAGUGUUCUUCUAGCCUGCUUAAUAA